GGGCGCCGCUCAGUCAGCCGACGCGCCUCUCUAUGGCACUUUAGUCCUCCAGGAGCCCAGAAGUGCCCGCUCAGUCCUCCCACGCUCGUCUCUAUGGCACUUUAGUCCUCCAGGAACCCUCUCAGUCCUCCCACGCGCCUCUCUAUGGUACUUUAAUCCUCCAGGACGCCCCUCAGUCAGCCGACAUGCCUCUCCAUGGCACUUUAGUUCUCCAGUACGCCCCUCAGUCCACUGACGCGCCUCUCUAUGGCACUUUAGUCCUCCAGGACGUCCCGCAGUCUGCCGACACGCCUCUCCAUGGCGAUUUAGUCCUCUAGGAUCCAGGAAGUGCUCAUCAGUCUUCUGGAAAUCACCUGCUUCCAGCACUCUUCUAAAACCAUAAAACAUGAUUACCAAUUAACCACAAAAUAUCUGAAGAUCACAAAAAUAAAGUGACGCCUGCAGAACUCUCUUCUCUACAGCAACAAGUAGACAGAACUCAAACAAAAGUGGAGGGCUGCAUUUUCCUAGAAUUCCUAACUUUAUUGAAGAUGGGCCAGAGAUUUUUUCCACCGGUUUUGCAGUGUGCUGUGUGUCAUAAGUAAUUGCUGCUGCAGCCUCUGACUCUAGAAUCGGCGUGAAACAGAUGCAGAGGGACAAGAUGUGCACCAAAGAGUCAUGGAGAAGGCAAGCGGGACCCUGUAAGAAGGUAGUUUGUAAGCCUCAAAGCAGCAGCCCAAAACCAUGGAGGGCAGGUGCAGGAUGCAGGCUCAGAGGGACUAAGCCGCAUGCUGAUGAGCGUGCUGAGAAGGUGCCCUGUGAGCCAUCUUUGGAAGUGGGUGAGCAUUAGAGCAAUGAUGGCCACAGCAUUUGACUCUAGAAGGAGCAGCUGAGUGGAAUCCCAUUGUGCUUUUGAGGAAGGGGAAAUUGUGGAAGAGGUUGGCGGUGGCCUCUCUGAAACUUCUUGCUGUCACUGUUUGGUUUUCUUUAAUUGUAGAUGAUGAUGAUGAUGAUGAACCUGGUGACUACAGGAAUGUCCCAGAUAGUCGAUGUGCUGUUUUUUUUUUUUUUCUGUCGACAUCAGAUUUAAGACCUCCAGCCCUCUGAAAGCUAAGUUGAGUGGCCAGGGCUGGGGAGGGGCUGGAAAGGGAGAAGUUUGUGAUUUGCAGGGAGGCCUCUUAAAGUUAGAGAAGGGCAGAGGGCUGUCCUGGAGCCAUCCCCUUUGAGCAGGUAAAGGGAGCGGGUUAGUCUUCAGCACAAUGCUAGCAUGAGCCGGGCAGGGUGGUUCCAGCCUGCAUCUGUUGUGUUGUUUGUGUGGUCUGUCUUCUGUGUCCUAAACCUUCCUUGGGUCUCCAUGCUCUCUUUACACUUGAGGAGCACAGCCUGUACUUCAGACACCAUCCCAAGAGUCUUGAAUGCCAGAACUCAUUGGCACUGCCCCAGUCAGGCCCCACUUUUCUUGCAUUAUAAGCUUAAACAGUGGAUCGGCCUUGCAUCUCGGAAGUUUCUGGGUGGUCCUCAACUGCAGCAUUGUUCCUGGCUGCAUGAGCAGCUCU